rnacentral:rRNA from 1 species
GCUUGUCUCAAAGAUUAAGCCAUGCAUGUCUAAGUAUAAGCACCCUUAUACUGCGAAACUGCGUACAGCUCAUUAUAUCAGCAAUUAUUUAUUUGAAGGUCACCUAUUACAUGGAUAACCGUGGUAAUUCUAGAGCUAAUACAUGCGAAAAGUCGGCGCAAGUCGAUGUAUUUAUUAGAUACAGAAUCAAUGCGGGUUCUGCUCGCCAUUGUGUUGAAUCAUAGUAACUUAUCGAACGCCAUAGCCUUGUGCUGGGCGUAGAUCAUUCAAAUUUCUGCCCUAUCAGCUUUCGACGGUAGUGUAGUGGACUACCGUGGCGUUAACGGGUAACGGGGAAUUAGGGUUCGAUUCCGGAGAGGGAGCCUGAGAAACGGCUACCACAUCCAAGGAAGGCAGCAGG